ACCCGCUGAACUUAAGCAUAUCAAUAAGCGGAGGAAAAGAAACCAACAGGGAUUGCCCCAGUAACGGCAAGUGAAGCGGCAACAGCUCAAAUUUGAAAUCUGGCGUCUUUGGCGUCCGAGUUGUAAUUUGCAGAGGGCGCUUUGGCAUUGGCAGCGGUCCAAGUUCCUUGGAACAGGACGUCACAGAGGGUGAGAAUCCCGUACGUGGUCGCUAGCCUUUACCGUGUAAAGCCCCUUCGACGAGUCGAGUUGUUUGGGAAUGCAGCUCUAAAUGGGAGGUAAAUUUCUUCUAAAGCUAAAUACUGGCCAGAGACCGAUAGCGCACAAGUAGAGUGAUCGAAAGAUGAAAAGCACUUUGGAAAGAGAGUUAAAAAGCACGUGAAAUUGUUGAAAGGGAAGCGCUUGCAGCCAGACUUGCCUGUAGUUGCUCAUCCGGGUUUUUACCCGGUGCACUCUUCUAUAGGCAGGCCAGCAUCAGUUUGGGCGGUUGGAUAAAGGUCUCUGUCAUGUACCUCUCUUCGGGGAGAACUUAUAGGGGAGACGACAUGCAACCAGCCCGGACUGAGGUCCGCGCAUCUGCUAGGAUGCUGGCGUAAUGGCUGU
rnacentral:rRNA from 1 species